rnacentral:rRNA from 1 species
GACGAACGCUGGCGGCGUGCUUAACACAUGCAAGUCGAACGGAAAGGCCCUGCUUUUGUGGGGUGCUCGAGUGGCGAACGGGUGAGUAACACGUGAGUAACCUGCCCUUGACUUUGGGAUAACUUCAGGAAACUGGGGCUAAUACCGGAUAGGAGCUCCUGCUGCAUGGUGGGGGUUGGAAAGUUUCGGCGGUUGGGGAUGGACUCGCGGCUUAUCAGCUUGUUGGUGGGGUAGUGGCUUACCAAGGCUUUGACGGGUAGCCGGCCUGAGAGGGUGACCGGCAACAUUGGGACUGGGAUACGGCCCAGACGCCUACGGGAGGCAGAAGUGGGGAAUAUUGCACAAGGGGCGGAAGACUAAUGCAGCAACGGCGCGUGCGGGAUAACGGCCUUCGGGUUGUAAACCGCUUUCGCCUGUGACGAAGCGUGAGUGACGGUAAUGGGUAAAGAAGCACGGGCUAGCUACGUG